UAUUGAAUAAAGUAGAGAAGUUUGUCUGAAAGCUGCUGACUGGGUGAACAGAGGCUGAACAGUGAGGAGACAUGGAAGCUGUGGUUGGACUGUUGGUGAUGCUGCUCGGAGUCUCUCAUGGUAUUGAAACCCACUGUGAUGGCAGACAGGAUGGAGCUCAGUGUUAUGGAGCUCUGGGAGGAACUGUGGUGCUCCAGCUGAUGGACAACGCCUCAGAAAUAUUUAGAUACCUAUGG